CUUCAGAGGACCUGAGGGCCUAUCCAAAUUUGGUGGUAUUGUUUGGGACUGGAUGCCAGCUGGGCAAGGCUACCUAUCCAUGUUGUGAAGGACAAGGAACAUCCUGAAGACCUUGGAGAAAGAGGAAAGGCACAGCCCUGUGACAUACUUGUUAAGGAAAGGUAUGAGGAGGACACAGACAUCCUGGAGAGAGCAAUCUGUGCUCUCUGAGCCAAGGCAAACAGCACAAGCCACGAGGCAAGGACCACUGAAAAAAAGGAAGGAGUGUCAGGUCCAAGGCCAGUGCAUGAAGAGUUAGAGAGAAACUAGCCCAUAGAGGAAGAAAAGCAGAACACCAGGGCAUCUCCAGGAAAGUCACCACAGAUUCCUCGACCAGCUGUGCAGAAGGAGCAUGGGCCUGGAAGCAAGGAGGACAUGGCUUUCUGUUUAUGGGUGCUGCUUUGUAUGUCAGUGUCACAGAUUCCCUCAUCUCCAGAAAGCAGACAGCUCACUGAGAGCAUGCAGGAGGAUUUCACUGUUCCCUGAAAAAACAUCCCUGAGCCUCUUUGGUGUUGCUCCAAAGCUGCGCAGGGUGACUUAGAAGUUGGAGGCUGGGUACCGCCUGUCCUGGAGCUGCAGUGCAGGGAGUCACAGGUGAAACGAGUGAAAUGUGUUACAACUCCUUAAAGCUAGAAACACCAUUUCUUGCUUCUGCUAACCAGGGGAACGAGAGUACCAGUCUGAAUACGUUUCAUUUAUUCAGAAGACUUCCUGAAGAAAAACAGAUUUUCAUGAUGAGAGGCCACUAGAAGAAAAUCCAGUAAAGAACAUGACCUUUAGUAACACAAGACACACUGUUCCCUACAACAGAGUUGCCUGCAGAUGCCUUGAUGGAACGUGAAAUGAGGAACCCGCCAGACAAGGAGUUGUUUGGGUUUGUUCUGAAUUUUGGGGGAUUAUCUUCAUUCCCUGUGCAGAUAUGCGGUGACAUGGCACAACCAUCCUUGUCCCUGGGUGAAAUCCUGGCGUUUCUGAAAUCAAGGAAACAUUCCCUUCACCUUCAGUGGAACCAGGAUUUCUACCACGUACGUGUUUCAGUGCUGUGUUCUUUUAGGUAAGGAAAUGGUGGAAAUGAUGUGAAUUUAUGUAGCCAUGCAGUCUAUUUCCCUGCAAAAAUAGAAAAAUCAGACUGAACUGAACUGACUGAUCUCCAAAUCUGUCUUAACAGUUGGGUGGCCAGCAUGGGUGUCCA